CAGCAGAGUUAGUUCAAUCUCUCUCCCUUAUUGUAGCCUUGAAUAAAGGCUUUGCCUUUCAAACUCUGUCCUGCCCAUUUUUCUUUGACAUGUUCAGAUGUUGGCAAGGCUGAAAACUGCAGGGGAUCUGGUUGUGAUAAUCCAGACGGAGUCUCCCUUUGUUGCCAACCCUGGAGUGAAGUGGUGGGAUCUGGGCUCACCGCAACCUCCGCCUCCUGGGUUCAAGCGAUUCUCCUGCCUUAGCCUCCCAAGUAGGCCUGAAUAUAUACAAAUAUGAACAAGACCCACAAGGACUGCUCAUCACCCCAGUAUUCCAUUUACAGCAUCCUGAAUGAACUCCCGACCAGGACUAUAAUUCUCUCUUGCAGCCAAAUAUCCUGCUUACUCCUGGUAUCUACCUGGUCAGCAGACCUCAUGAGUUAUCGCCCAGUGACAAAACCAUCCCAAAGAUGCACCAGUCCAGCACAAAGUAUGACUGUCAAUCUCACAAAAGAUGUAGGGUUCUAGGAGGAUACUCAGAGUAUAAGAAUUACGCUAAGUGAAAUAAGCCAAGCCCAGAAAGACACAUACUUUAUUAUUUCAUGUAUCUGUGGAAUCUAAAAGAGUCAAAUUCAUGGCAGCAGGGAGAGGGCUGAAGAAGGGGGAGAUGUUGAUCAAAGUUUCUAUGUAUGCAAAGACCAAACCAUCACAUUAUGCCUCAUAAAUAUAUACAAUUAUUAUUUGCUAAUUACAAGUAAAGCAAUAAAAGAAGAAAAAAAGGAAUCAUAAGUAAAUCCAUGACAAGUGAAAAUGCAAUGGAGAGAAGGGAAUCAAUGAUUGAAGAAGAGAAAGGGCAGUGGAUUCACAACUGCUUCGAAAGAGUGAUUUGACUGGCAAAGGACUGGGGAGAGGUCCUUUGGGAAAUGGACAAAGCCCUCGAAUGGUUAGGAAAGACGAUCUCUUUAUAAAUGCAGGGCAUAAGCUGAGCACAAGGUGAAGUUUGGCAUGUACUGCCGUGGGAUGUUGUAAAAAUUAUGUCAAAAGCAAAGCAAUUCUUGGUUCAUCUGUGUUCACUCUGAGAUUAGCCUAUUAUUGGGGUUAAACUUAUAAACAAACUUCUGUUCAUCAUUUUUUUCUCCAAAAUAAAGUGAUCAAAUUGUCCCACAGAA